CAGACCCUGCACACAUGGCCUCUUGGCUAAUGAGAAAGGUGGCUUUGCAGAUCAGUAGGGGAAUGAAUGGUUUAACCGUUUAAAGAAUACUCAGAAAAAAAUUGGUACGAAUGAAAAUAGAGGCUUCACACUGUAGAUCAGACGGGGAGCAAUCUGGUCUCAGAUAAGACAGGAAAUUUGAAAGAAAAAAAAAAACCCCAAAACUCAUUCAGCUUAAAACUGGGGCAUGAUGGGAGAGCUGCCCAGGUAAGCCUGAGAGAUAUGGCUUAAAAUCAUGGCCGGCAUGUGAACAAGGAAGCAAAGCAACACUGAAACCAAACUGCAAACAGAAGCAGUCUGGAAGGAUAGCUCAGAGAACGAAGAAAACAUCCCCGGAACACAUAAUGUCACAUAAAAACCUUAAAAAAUAAAGCAAGAGCGUGAAGGUGGGAUGAUAAAAUAAGAAAAUGUGGUUUAAAAUGGAGUUGGAAGAGCUUCAGAAACAAAUUAAGAUUCCCUCCCCAAAUGAACACAAUCAACUAUUUUUGAAAAACAAGAAACCAAAAACUACUAAAAAUUAAAUGCCGUACGGAAAAGUUUGAGACAACCAUUGUGAACAGAAAGUAAAAACCUAAAGAGAUGAAAAUUUAGGGACAUAAAAGCUGUGGAUCACUAUGCUGAACACCAGAAACAUGCUGCUGGAGGGUAGGUGGUGAAUAGGGAAUGCAUAAUAUGUUUCUUCUCCAUUAAAAAAAUCUAAAAAUUUAAAAUAUUAAGCAGUGUUAUUUCUGACCCAUCACUAGAGAAAAAGAGGGGAUUUCUAGCCUUUUCCUUGUGGAGGAAGAACUGAUUCCACAACAGAAAAUAAAGGAAAAAUGAAACUACUCCGCCUGUGCCAGCCCUUUGCAGUUAGGGGCCUUUCUCUUCCCACCAGGAUGGCUGGAGGAGGAGCCCAGGCUCCCAGCCAGAGGCGGGAACAGCGCCAGGGCUGACAAGAGGCCCGGCCACAGGACAGAUUCCUGCCCUUCACUUACUGCAGGCGAGAGAUCCUGUACAUUAGGUGUAAAGUGAAGUGAAAUGCAGAGGCCAAAGGACGGCCGCUGAAGCAGCGGCGCGGCCAGAGGGAAAGGCGGGAGCAAGCGGGGACAGACUGACCUGGAGCUGAGCUCCCUGGCACCGGCCAUCUUCCCGCCCCAGCCCGGCCUGCGCCUCCGAGCCCUCCGGUCGGCCCAGCCCGGGGCCCGGGAGGCUGCCUGAGCCCUGCGCAGGAAGUCUGCUCUUCGACUGACCCACACAGGGCUCCGCCCAAGCGGCGAAAGGGGAAGUGAAAGUAUCUGCCCGCGAGCUGUGCUGUGCAGACGCGGGCUCCCUCCUCCCACAGCUCCGCGGAGCUUCCUGCCCUCCUGACUUGUGGGCCCCGGGAUGGAAGACGGGGAGUGACAGCCAGGGCCUGGAGGGCAGGGAGGAGGACUGGGGAGGAGCAGGGCCGGCCUCCAGGGGCCCACUGUUUGUGCAAAGAGGAGCGAGCAUCACUGUGCUGGGACAGAUUCCAGGACACUGAUGGGGCCAUCUUUACCAGUGGGCAGGGUCUCAGUGGUACCAGAUGCUGCACACGUGUGGAUCCCUCUCUCCCUCCCCGACUUUAGGGUACAAGGACUAGUAAGCUGAGCCUCUGCUGGGCACGACUGUCCUCUGCUCCCAGGCUCCCUGGGGCACGGAGCUCAGACACGGCUGACACAGACCACGCCUGCCUUUUGUAGUGUCUCUCUUUUCUGUCCCUGGGCAGCGGAUGGACCAGGCCACCGCUAUGCUAGGAGCUGGCAUGUAUGUGCCAGCUUUCCUGUGGGUUUGCUUAGGGCCCCAAGAUGAACACCUGGAAAUAAGAGACCAGCUGGCAGCAGCUGGGUGGGAGCGCACAGGGUGGGCACCCCUGAGCGGGGCUGCUGCUGGCCAUAGGGGGAGACCUUCCUGGGGGUCAGAGAAAGCUGGGCAUGCGCCACACUCUGCGACAGCAGGGGUGGUUUGUGAAGCAUCCUUAGGUCUCUGUGGAGAAGGCAGUUUCUCUGCCCCAGGAAACAACAUCAGACCCACUCAGGUUCAGAAAAGGACAGAACCAACUUAAGAAGCAGGUUAAACUCCUAAACACCCUGCUGGAGUGACUGAGAGAGGUUAGGAGGCGCCUGGGGUGUUUUCCGUGUCUGCACAGAGAACUGACAACGGGGACCAUUCCUGCUGUUGCGAAAGGAUCCCAGCUGCUGGGCCUGGAAACCUGCAGAGCAGGAGAGACCGAGACUGAGGAGGGACCUGGGACAGAGGACCCGCCAAGACGGCCGGCUUUGAAAGCUUCACCAGGAGCAACUUCCGCUCAGACUUCAGUUGUGGGGCUGAGUCUCCACUGGGAGACCCCUGUGGGGACCAGAGGUUUGUCUCUGAGACAAGACAGUAGGAUCUGGGGUCUGAGAUUAAAGGGCAGGAGGAAGCUGCAGUCACUUUGACCACUGGGGCCAGAGGAACAAGACCCCCGGCACCUCUGUGGGUGUGGAAGUGGAGAGGGAGCAGGGCACCUGGGAACUGAGUGGGAGCACUCAGGCCUUGCUCAGUGUCCCCUUGCAGGGGCAGCACAUCCAUCAGCAGGACUCACCUGGACCUCUGCCCCCAUCCUGCCUGGGAGACUCUCUGCUUGGGGACAGGGUGGAAGGGGUGAGUCUGCUUCUUGUUGGGUCCCCCUGGGCUGGUCCCGCCAGCAGAGGCCAGGGCUCUGUCAGCUCCCCAAUGCCAAGUGCACAGUAACAGGGGCCUGGGGAGUGGGGCGCAUUGGUGGGUAGGGGUAUAUGAUUGAUUGGGGUUGUCUGAGGCUGUGUGGAUAAACCCAACGUUGAGGUUCAGGUUUAGGGCUCUCUUUUGGCCGCAGCGCUAAGCCUAGUCCAGCUGAAGACAGCUAGCGCUUUGAUCCCCAUCUGUCUCAUCUGUUUGCCUGUCCGUUGGUUGCUGAAACUCAAGUGAAGGAGAUCUGGGGAGGGUUAUACACCGAAUUGGGGACUCCUCUCCAUGAGUUUCAGUUUCCUGGGAUUUUCCCUUCUUUCCCCAAAAGGCUAGUUACCCUGGGCUUCUUCCCUGGCUCUGCUGACUGGAGAAAAGGUGUGCUUCCUACCGAAGUUCCGGCCAUCCUACACGGGACGGGGGCUGCUCUCAGAGUCAAGUGAUAACACACAGGAAAUAUCUUGUUCUGGCUGCUUCCUCUGAGUUUCGACUUCCCUCCACAGGCAGCCUGCUUUUGUUCACUUUCUAGAAGGCUCAGGCAGUUGCUCUUUGAAUAUUGUCUUCACAGAGAUGUCUUCCCAUCCAGUUUAUACAGAGAGAGCUGGAGAACCCUAUCGUCUUCUCCGGAUGGCAGGCCCUGCUCUCUCCACCCAGGUGUGGAGGCGUGUGCUGAUGCCCUGGGAGCUUCCCUGGGAGGUGCAGGCUGAAGGGUUGUUAUCAAGUGGCCCAGGUCCUCAGAAACGUCAGGUCUCCUGCAGCUCCCAAGGACACAGGCGUGUCCCCCUAGAUAAAACCACAGCCAGAUUCCUUUGUAGCCAACAGCCCACAUCUGAGUCCAGGUAGUUGGGGAACUGACAAGAGUGAAAGGCUUAGUGGCCACACUUGGCCUUGGCUGUCCAGGGGGAUGGGGUAGAAGCUCUCCUUCUAACCUGAUGCCCAACUCAGCCUCUAUAUCCACUGCAGAGGCAAAGGAACCACAAUCCACCUGCUCCACCUGGUUCCAGGAAUGCUCCUCCAGGCUCUGCAGCCCCUUUGACUGGCCCGGGACACCCCAUUCUUCCCCUGAGACAUCAGGACCCAGCUCUGGGGUCCCUGGGGUGGGUUCUGUCAGUCAGUUGUGUCUUCCUUGGCUGUCCAGCCUCCUCUGUCCCUUUCUCAAGACACCUGGAUUCCUUGGGCUGGGCAGGAGAAGAGGGACUGUGUGCAGGAGAAGAGGGACUGUUGAUCAAGGUGCUGGCCCUUGAGGAAGCCAGGUCAGCUGGACUUUCUUUGAGGAGCCGGACUCUCAAGUGAAGUUUGUUAAGGCGUUAAAAUGCAGUUGGAUAAAAUUUGUUUGGUGGCACCUCCUUAACAAGACGGCAGGGAUGUUCCUGGUGCUCAGUUCCUGGAGCUGCUUUGCUUCGCGCCUGGUUCUGGGGAUACUUGCAGGCUCUGAGUCCAGCCUCCUGCCCUUUCAUGAGCCACUGUGAUCCCAUCAGUGAAGUCCUUUUCUGUCUAACCUGGAUAAAGUUGGUCUCGCUGGCAAGCCCUCAUUGAUGCAAGGAUGUUUGUGUAUAAAUUGUCUUAAUUUACUUACUGUCAACCCUCAUAAAGAUCCAGUGAACCAUUA